rnacentral:rRNA from 1 species
GACGAACGCUGGCGGCGUGCCUAACACAUGCAAGUCGAACGGAAGUAAGUGCUUCGGUAUUUACUUUAGUGGCGAACGGGUGAGUAACGCGUGAGGAACCUGCCUUUCAGUGGGGGACAACAGUUGGAAACGACUGCUAAUACCGCAUAAUGUGUUUUGGGGGCAUCCCUGAAAUACCAAAGAUUUAUCGCUGAAAGAUGGGCUCGCGUCUGAUUAGCUAGUUGGUGGGGUAACGGCCUACCAAGGCGACGAUCAGUAGCCGGACUGAGAGGUUGAACGGCCACAUUGGGACUGAGAUACGGCCCAG